rnacentral:rRNA from 1 species
AAAUUGAAGAGUUUGAUCAUGGCUCAGAUUGAACGCUGGCGGCAGGCCUAACACAUGCAAGUCGAACGGUAGCACAGAGAGCUUGCUCUCGGGUGACGAGUGGCGGACGGGUGAGUAAUGUCUGGGAAACUGCCUGAUGGAGGGGGAUAACUACUGGAAACGGUGGCUAAUACCGCAUAAUGUCGCAAGACCAAAGAGGGGGACCUUCGGGCCUCUUGCCAUCAGAUGUGCCCAGAUGGGAUUAGCUAGUUGGUGAGGUAACGGCUCACCAAGGCGACGA